CUUUCGUGCAGGAUGUGUGCUCAGCCUUGCUGCAAUGGCUUGCUCAUUUGCUGCCUGCAGGGAAGUUUCUACAUCGUGGGCCUGCCAUCACUUGCUCCUGGCCACCUGUCUGGUUUCAUAUUUGUAAUUCUUCCCUCCAUACUGAUAGCUGCAGCCACUCUGGGCUGUUUUCUGCUUCCUAGCUACCCUGGGCUCUCUCUUCUCCUUUGUUAGAGCAUUCUCUCCAUCUAGAAGCCUCUGGACACCUCUUCCUCUCUCUUCUAGGCAACCUCCUUAUUCUUCAAGUCUCAGUGCAAACUCCAGCUCUAUUACACUUUCCGUGAUGCUCUGAAACACUCAGGAACUGGUUUCUCCAUGCUCCCACCACACCUUGACUGGUAUGUGGUACUGUAAUUGUCUGUUUGCCUGAAAGGCUCUCCACUGGACUCAACUACUUGAGAUCAAGGGAUAACGCAACUUCCUGGCCAGGUGCUCUCGGGUUCAAAUCUCUUAAAGAGCCGGCAGCAAAGCCAAGGAUGAAGGGGAAGAAGGGACGGGCCGAGGAAGGUGUUCCUGCUGAAGUGUUCAAACAUUCUGGACGUUCUCAGACACCCACCCAACUAGAUCAGAUGUGUUCAAUGACUGAGCAGCUUUGAACAAGGACCCAGGGGUCUGAUCAACCGUUCCCAAUUCUGUACACUCUGGCAGCACAAACUGAAGUCCACGGCAAAUUGAUAAAGAAUGGACAUUGGCAUAUCCAGUGUUACCUGACCUGUGACAGUGCAACAGACUGAGUGCAGAAGGACAUAAAAGAUGCCGGUUCUCUGGGAUUAAGGCAAGACAUUAAAGAGAUUUUCAAAAUGUAAAA